CAGUCGCCGCGGGAAUACAGAGGAUGCAAGCGUUAUCCGGAAUGAUUGGGUGUAAAGCGUCUGUAGGUGGCUUUUCAAGUCCGCCAUCAAAUCCCCGGGCUCAACCCUGGACAGGCAGUGGAAACUACCAAGCUGGAGUACGGUAGGGGCAGAGGGAAUUUCCGGUGGAGAGGUGAAAUGCGUUGAGAUUGGAAAGAACACCAACGGUGAAAACGCUCUGCUGGGCCGACACUGACACUGAGAGACGAAAUCUAGGGGAGCAAAUGGGAUUAGAUACCCGAGUAGUCCCUGUCUCUUAUAC
rnacentral:rRNA from 1 species